rnacentral:rRNA from 1 species
UCGGGGACGCAACGUCCUCGACCUAUUCUCAAACUUUAAAUAGGUAGGACGGCGCGGCUGCUUUGUUGAGCCGCGCCUCGGAAUCGAGAGCUCCAAGUGGGCCAUUUUUGGUAAGCAGAACUGGCGAUGCGGGAUGAACCGGAAGCCGGGUUACGGUGCCCAACUGCACGCUAACCUAGAACCCACAAAGGGUGUUGGUCGAUUAAGACAGCUAGGAGGUUGGCUUAGAAGCAGCCAUCCUUUAAAGAAAGCGUAGUAGCUCACUAGUCGAGUCGGCCUGCGCGGAAGAUGUAAC